rnacentral:tRNA from 1 species
GGAGGAAUGCCAGAGAGGUUGAAUGGGACGGUCUCGAAAACCGUUAUACGGGCAACUGUAUCGAGGGUUCGAAUCCCUCUUCCUCCGCAA